rnacentral:ncRNA from 2 species
AUGUGCGGUAGAGGCGCGAAUUGAAUGAGUAGUUGUCGUUGGGGUGAUGCCGAUGAACGAUGAUGAAAGGUCUGUUCGCCGAAGUGACAGCGUCGAUCAAAACCUGUUGCUGGGGUUGAACUCGAAGAGGGUCAACACUGCCAUAGUCUAUAAUUUUAACUAUGGAGCGCUACUGUAGGG